AUUGAACGCUGGCGGCAUGCCUUACACAUGCAAGUCGAACGGUAACAGAUCUUCGGAUGCUGACGAGUGGCGAACGGGUGAGUAAUACAUCGGAACGUGCCUAGUAGUGGGGGAUAACUACUCGAAAGAGUGGCUAAUACCGCAUGAGAUCUACGGAUGAAAGCAGGGGAUCGCAAGACCUUGUGCUACUAGAGCGGCCGAUGGCAGAUUAGGUAGUUGGUGGGAUAAAAGCUUACCAAGCCGACGAGCUGUAGCUGGUCUGAGAGGACGAUCAGCCACACUGGGACUGAGACACGGCCCAGACUCCUACGGGAGGCAGCAGUGGGGAAUUUUGGACAAUGGGUGCAAGCCUGAUCCAGCAAUGCCGCGUGCAGGAUGAAGGCCUUCGGGUUGUAAACUGCUUUUGUACGGAACGAAAAGCCCUGGGUUAAUACCCUGGGGUCAUGACGGUACCGUAAGAAUAAGCACCGGCUAACUACGUGCCAGCCGCCGCCGUAACAC
rnacentral:rRNA from 1 species